UCAAAGACAGCCCAACUCACAGCCCAUGAGGGACCCUGAGUACUGCCUCUGACCUCUCUAUGGCAAGCCAAAUGGCCAUGGGAAGACCCCAUGGAGUGUCAGAAUGAUGCCGUUGAGGGCAAGGAUUUUAGACCGGUCAUGGAUUCUGCCUGUGCACUGGGCUCUACCACUUUCUAGCUAUCUGGCUACUAGCAAGUUACCUUAACAAUCUAAGUUUCAACCUCCCCAUUCGUGAAAUGGAGAUGAUGUCUUAGUCAUAGAAGUAGCAAGUCUACUGCAUAUCAACAGUGUAGCACUGAGCCUGGCUCUUUAUGAACUCUCGCUCUGUUACCCAGGCUGGAGCGCAGUGGGAUGAUCUCUGCUCACUGCAGCCUCUGCCUUCUGGGUUCAAGUGAUUCUCCUGCCUCAGCCGCAUAAGGAAACAGGCCGAGAGACGCAAGUCAAACAGCAAAGGAUGGUCUGCUGUCUGUCUGACUCCAAUGCCAAUGGUCUUUCCUCUAUAACCUAAAGCAAUAAAACCCCUGCAACAUCU
rnacentral:lncRNA from 1 species